GACGAACGCUGGCGGCGUGCCUAAUACAUGCAAGUUGAGCGCUGAAGGUUGGUACUUGUACCAACUGGAUGAGCAGCGAACGGGUGAGUAACGCGUGGGGAAUCUGCCUUUGAGCGGGGGACAACAUUUGGAAACGAAUGCUAAUACCGCAUAAAAACUUUAAACACAAGUUUUAAGUUUGAAAGAUGCAAUUGCAUCACCCAAAGAUGAUCCCGCGUUGUAUUAGCUAGUUGGUGAGGUAAAGGCCCACCAAGGCGAUGAUACAUAGCCGACCUGAGAGGGUGGUCGGCCACCUUGGGACUGGGACACGGCCCAAACUCCUACGGGAGGCAGCCGUAGGGAAUCUUCGGCAAUGGACGAAAGUCUGACCGAGCAACGCCGCGUGAGUGAAGAAGGGUUUCGGAUCGUAAAACUCUGUUGGUAGAGAAGAACGUUGGUGAGAGUGGAAAGCUCAUCAAGUGACGGUAACUACCCAGAAAGGGACGGCUAACUACGUG
rnacentral:rRNA from 1 species